rnacentral:rRNA from 1 species
AUUGAACGCUGGCGGCAUGCCUUACACAUGCAAGUCGAACGGUAACAGGUCUUCGGAUGCUGACGAGUGGCGAACGGGUGAGUAAUGCAUCGGAACGUGCCCAGUAGUGGGGGAUAGCCCGGCGAAAGCCGGAUUGAUACCGCAUACGACCUGAGGGUGAAAGGGGGGGAUCGCAAGACCUCUCGCUAUUGGAGCGGCCGAUGUCAGAUUAGCUAGUUGGUGGGGUAAAGGCCUGCCAAGGCAACGAUCUGUAGUUGGUCUGAGAGGACGACCAGCCACACUGGGACUGAGACACGGCCCAGACUCCUACGGGAGGCAGCAGUGGGGAAUUUUGGACAAUGGGCGCAAGCCCGAUCCAGCAAUGCCGCGUGCAGGAAGAAGGCCUUCGGGUUGUAAACUGCUUUUGUCAGGGAAGAAAUCUUCUGGGUUAAUACCUCGGGAGGAUGACGGUACCUGAAGAAUAAGCACCGGCUAACUACGUGCCAGCCGCCGCAGUAAGAC